GACAGAGGUGCCAAGCGUUAGGCGGAAUCACUGGGCUUAAAGCGUGUGUAGGCGGAUGUCUAAGUACCUUGUGAAAUCCCACGGCUCAACCGUGGAACUGCUUGGUAUACUGGACGUCUUGAGCCAGCUAGGGGCUACCGUAACAAAUGGUGGAGCGGUGAAAUGCGUAGAUAUCAGGAAGAACACCUAUGGCGAAGGCAGCUCUCUGGGACGGUACUGACGCUGAGACGCGAAAGCGUGGGGAGCGAACAGG
rnacentral:rRNA from 1 species